rnacentral:lncRNA from 1 species
AAAAUAGAGUCCCCAGGGAAUACUGAUAGCCUUUUUCCAAUAAAGCGAAAUCUAUUUGCAAUAAUAGGUAUAUGCAAAGACCUCCUGAAAUUACAGGAGCAAACUCCUUCCGCAUCUCGACCUAAUUAAGAUCCGUUACUCAACAGUGAUCAGUCAGAUUUUACUGUAAGAAGGAAGAAAACAAGGAUCCUGCUAGAACAACAUGGAAACAGCAUUGAAGAUGGUUUCCAAUAUCCAGAUGGACAGGCUGACCAUGAGUGCAAAUCUUCUUGUCCUUAGGAAAAAAAACUUCAAAGGGUAGACAACAGCCAAAUACCGAUCAACGGCAAUGCAGGAAAGACACACACAGAGAUCCAAUAUUGGCUGGAAUGCUGACUAUAAUCACAAAGAUGUAAACAAUGGGAAACAAAUAGUGAUCCAGGUCAUGCUGUUCUUCAAUACAUGUGCUGUUCAUUUUUUCCUUUUUAAGGUAGCAAUUAUAUUAGUUCUUAG